UACGAAGGGUGCAAGCGUUACUCGGAAUUACUGGGCGUAAAGCGUGCGCAGGCGGCUUUGCAAGACAGAUGUGAAAUCCCCGGGCUUAACCUGGGAACUGCAUUUGUGACUGCAUGGCUGGAGUGCGGCAGAGGGGAUGGAAUUCCGGCGUGUAGCAGUGAAAUGCGUAGAUAUGCGGAGGAACACCGAUGGCGAAGGCAAUCCCCUGGCCUGCACUGACGCUCAUGCACGAAGCGUGGGAGCAACAGG
rnacentral:rRNA from 1 species